GAUGAACGCUGACAGAAUGCUUAACACAUGCAAGUCAACUGUGGCGGACGGGUGAGUAACGCGUAAAGAACUUGCCUCACAGUUAGGGACACCAUUUGGAAACGAAUGCUAAUACCUGAUACUGUGAGAGAGCUUUGCGUCCCAUUAGCUAGUUGGAGAGGUAACGGCUCACCAAGGCGAUGAUGGGUAGCCGGCCUGAGAGGGUGAUCGGCCACAAGGGGAGUGAGACACAGCCCUUACGCCUACGGGAGGCAGCAGUGGGGGAUAAUGGGCAUGGGACCGAAGUCUGUUCCACCAAUUCAGAGUGCACGAUGAAGUUUUCGGAAAGUAGAGUGCUUUCAGUUGGGAAGCAGUACCAACAGAAGAAGUGACGGCUAAAUACGUGCCAGCAGCCGCGGUAAUAC
rnacentral:rRNA from 1 species